rnacentral:lncRNA from 1 species
GGAGCUUGCAUAGUGCACAAACUGCAAAGGCCAACACAAAAAUACUCCUUUAUCUAAAAUCGUGUUUACGGAAAUAAUUACAUCUUAAGGUGUGCCGUGGUGGGUGAAACUGGAUCAUGAUCCUACGUGUGCGGUCUAUCUGAUCCACCAGCCUGGUCGUUUGCCUAAUUGCUCCCAUGCCUCCUUGCUGAGACUCAGAUGCUCGUAUUAUCGUUCAUCAUAAAAAGGGGGAAAACCAAACAUGCUUUCCCUACCGUGAUCUACUUCUAAACCAAACUUCAGCAGAUUGUUUAGUAGAUAGAAGAAACUUCCAAACUGAAACGGCUGCCACUUUGCCUCAGUACAAAUAUAUGUCGAGGUCUUCCUUACAACUUGGAGAUAAAUGUAAGAUCUCUUUUGAUGGGAGACCAUGGUCAGAUUGUCGUUGAUCUCUUUUGAUGGGAGAACAUGGUUGAUUAACAUGGCCUAGUUGUAAGGAGCGCAACGAUAGAAUUUCAGCAGAUUCACUUCCUUGAAUGAAGUGCCAGAAAUUUUCAUCAUCAUCAUACUAUAUUACAAUCAGAGAGGCCAACUGAACCGGCAUGCA